CUCACAUUUCUCCCCGUCGUUCCCCAUUCUUCCUUGGUCGCCAGCUCCCUCUCUCCACCUCGUCAGGCCACCCCUCCCCUUCGUCCCCACCGCUAGCAAGAGGUUCGCAACCCCUUCUCUUCCCCGCGUUUUCAUCGAAUCCAGUCGCCCAAGUGGCCGAGGAGGUCCCCCAGCUGGCCAGCUCGGCAUGCUCGCGAGCAUCCUAGCGUUAGGCUCCGUCGGAUGCGCGCGACUUCCCCGCCCCUGCUCUUCCCCGUCCUUCUUCGAAUCCGUUCGCCGAAGUGCCCAAGGAGGCGCUCGAGCUCAGCGCACUCACAGGCGACCCAGCGCGAGGCGGGCGCCGAGGCCCGCAACAAGCCAACAAGGAGCGGGCGUGGGUGCGCAACAAUAUCUGGGCACAGUUCGAUGCCUCCACUGCUGAGCCGUGGAGAUGUGCAGGAGCCAGUGAGAUACGGCCACCUCCCAGCCAGUUCACCAGCCUCCGCGAAGAUGUGUAGGAGCCAGUGUGCCUCUGUGUGAUGUGCUAUUCAAGAUACCUCUACAUAUUUCCCCCUUCUUAAUGAAAAGGCAGCGCUCCUGUCGGUUCCUCAAAAAAAUUGUGUUAUUCAGGAUACAAUGGCACUCGAUAAUGCUUGCUAAGAAGAUAAAUUUGCUUGCAGGGCUCUUGAUGAUAUAUCCACUUUCAUCAAAUGCUUAAGGGUAUGGUCACUUGGAGAAGACAUAGCUAUGACUACAAAGAUCUGUUUUUUCAGGUAUGCGUCGUACAAGAUGGAUUUAUUCUUGACCGAUUGGAAGCAUACCGCAACACGGCGUACACAAGGGCUAGCCUAAGCAUGCAGAUACAGAAGGUUUAGUUCAGUGGCUGUGCUGGACAGGAGGGGCCAGGGAAUUGCUUUAAGUUGUUCCAAGAGAUGUGAGCCUGAUAAAACGAUGACAUAGCAGAUUUCCACUGUGGUCUCCUUGCAGGACCACUCUCAGUGGUUGGCCCUCCUGUUCACUUACACAAAAACAGAAGGCAGAAGAUGAUAUUGGCCCUGCCGUUGAGCCGCAAACAUAGAAUGUUGCUUUGGCAGGUCAAAGGAAGAAGCAGGUCGAAGGAAGAAGUUUAGACUAAAGACAUGGUCAAAGGAAGAAGCAGGUCGAAGGAAGAAGUUUAGACUAAAGUGGAGAGAAGAAUUUUACAGCUGCGUGUAUCCGGCUGGCUGCGACGGGCAGGGCGGGCUGUACCAGUGGGGAUCUCCCGUAGGGAUGCCACGCUGCGAGGGCAGGAUCCUGGGUGUUCCCUGGCGUCGCUGCCCUGGCGACCUUGCUAGAAGUUCUGUGGCGUCGCUGCCCUGGCGACCUCGGGGAAGGAAGCGACGCUGCUCGCGGACGGUCUCCACGUUGGUCGGCAACAAUGGCGAUGACAUUGGCGAUGGUGCGACGGUGCGAUGUCGAAUUAAUUUUGUUUCCUUAUUUUACCAGGAGAUCAGCGUGGUGUGAUGACGAAUUAAUGUUGUUUCCUUAUUUACCUGGAGUACAGCGUGAUUGUAGGGGGUGGAUGGGGGGUGCUGGAGGUGGAGCACGGUCAGUCAAGGGUAUUUCCUAAGUCCACACCGUACAGGCAGCAAAUGAAUGAUGGCUGUUAGAUUUAGAUGCGCGGGUAUAAUUGUGUGGUGUUGAUUGUUCCGUGCGUUUUGUGGGACAAGUUGCCGGGUGUACUUAGCGAAGUUCUUGUUUGCUUGUUUA